rnacentral:tRNA from 1 species
GAUAAAAUGGCUGAGUCUUAAGCAAUAAACUGUAAAUUUAUUAACGAAAUUUAAUUUCUUUUAUCA